rnacentral:ncRNA from 1 species
GACUUGGCCAUAUCUUAUGGUAUUGGGUUUUGAUGCAAGAUUCUUGAUCAAAGUAUCACGAGUUUGUUAUAUAAUCGCAAACAAAUUAUUUAAUGUAUUAUUAAUUUACUCAGGUAUGAUCCAAUUCAAGGGCAUUGACAGGUAGGGAGUUUGACUGGGGCGGUACAUCUCUCAAAUAAUAACGGUGUCCCAAGGCCAGCUUAGUGCGGACAGAAACCACACAUAGAGCAAAAGGGCAAAUGCUGACUUGAUCUCGGUGUUCAGUGCACACAGGGACAGCAAAAGCUCGGCCUAUCGAUCCUUUUGGUUUAAAGAGUUUUUAACAAGAGGUCUCAGAAA